UCGAAAGUUGAGAUAUUAAUUUUACAAAAGUUGUCUAAAAUCCAACAUACAUAUUCUAUUUAUUGAUAUCUGCACAUUUAUUUGAACUGUAAUACGAACAUGAGCUGGGAAGAUAGAUUUUCGACCAUGGUGAAAGAGAGUAGUGCCAAGAUAGACGAAGCUAAAGUAAGGAUUUUUGACAUUUGGGUUUUUACAAAUUACAAUCACAAAGCACUCACCAUAUUCCUAGCCAGUGUGCUUACACGGUUUGAACUCACAGGUGUUCGUUGUGGGAGUUAGGG